rnacentral:lncRNA from 1 species
UGAUUUAGUAGCUCUGUUCCAGGAACCAGGGGGCCAUAAAACCUUCUGGCGUCCCCUUAUCUCCUGGAGCCAUAAAACAAUCCUGUAACUUGUGGUGCAUUCCCCUUUGACAUCCCCCAUCCCCUGGUGCUCACAGCCUCUGCCUUUAAAUACUCUUUUUCCCAGCCUCUCGGGGCCGACACCUCUGUCUCCUGCGCGGGAUAUGUGUCGGCCCGGAGAUCUCUGUAAUAGGUCUCCGUAAUAAACCUCGCCUUUGCUUAUUACAUCCAAAAUGGUCUCUCUGUGUCUGGGGUCCGCGAUUUCCCAAGACUUGAGUAAGGGUCUCUCUGCGUGGGAUCUUUCAUAUUUAUGGGGGCUCGUCCGGGAUCUGCGCGACUACCCCAGACUCCGAAGACCCCUUGGAGGCUAAAAGACCUACAGGUGAUACAGAAAGAAAUCUGCUCACAGCUGACAGCAGCCUAUGCCCCGGAGACCCCUGAGACAUCCCAUCAGUUCCAGGUCGGAAGCAGCUACACUGAGCCCAGACACUCGAUCCUCGCUGGAAAGGACCAUACCUGGUGCUGCUGACCACCCUGACAGCCGUCAAUUCUCAGCCCUCACCAGCCGUGUACUAGCUGUUAGGGCUGAGAGCUGGGACCUAGAGAGAAAUUCAGUCAUGUUUGUCCUGGGUUCCAUCGAGAUAGGUGUGGGGAUAGGCUUGAUUUCUAUUACAAAUGAUGUAACAUUACAUAUGUUAGUACUCCUAACACUUCUUGGGACUGUGCCUCAGGGAUCACAACCUAUAUAAGUUUAGAAGUUCUGAAAGACAGUCAUGACCUUGGUGUAUAGGUUCAGAUAGUGUCCAGAUUGAAAUCCUGAUGCUAAAGACUUAGUAAGAGACAAAAAAAAAAGAGUUGAGAAUUACUUAGGGCUAGGGCUAUCUAGGUGCUACAAGGGCAGCACAAGGACAUCUGCUGUUGCCCUACAAUACA